CAGUAGCCGCGGUAAUACGAAGGGUGCAAGCGUUACUCGGAAUUACUGGGCGUAAAGCGUGCGUAGGUGGUGGUUUAAGUCCGUUGUGAAAGCCCUGGGCUCAACCUGGGAAUUGCAGUGGAUACUGGGUCACUAGAGUGUGGUAGAGGAUAGUGGAAUUUCCGGUGUAGCAGUGAAAUGCGUAGAGAUCUGGAGGAAUACCGAUGGCGAAGGCAGCCAUCUGGCCUAAUACUUACGCUGAGGUACGAAAGCAUGGGGAGCAAACAGGAUUAGAUACCCGUGUAGUCCCUGUCUCUUAUAC
rnacentral:rRNA from 1 species